UACGUAGGGUGCAAGCGUUGUCCGGAAUUAUUGGGCGUAAAGAGCUCGUAGGCGGUCUGUCACGUCGGCUGUGAAAUCCCCGAGGCUCAACCUCGGGUCUGCAGUCGAUACGGGCAAACUAGAGUAUUGCAGGGGAGACUGGAAUUCCUGGUGUAGCGGUGAAAUGCGCAGAUAUCAGGAGGAACACCGGUGGCGAAGGCGGGUCUCUGGGCAAUAACUGACGCUGGAGGAGCGAAAGCGUGGGGAGCAAACAGG
rnacentral:rRNA from 1 species